ensembl:snoRNA SNORD115 Small nucleolar RNA SNORD115
GGGUCAAUGAUGAGAUUUUUAUAUCGGCUGAAGAGAGGUGAUGACUUAAUAAUCAUGCUCGCCCGUGGGUUUGAGACCC